rnacentral:misc_RNA from 1 species
CUUCGCCUUCUUCUUUCCUGUAAUAAUUUAAUAAUUUUCAUCAACUUUUAUCUGCAACGACCUUCAAAUCUCGUCGUCUUCUUCUUCUUCUUUAAAUAUAUCGUCAUUCAUCAACCAGGGGUGUUUGUUGCUUUCUGCAUUGAAUUCAAGAUGGGAACCUCAACUUUGCAUAUGGAUGGUUGGAAUAUGUACCUUGUUGACCCAUUAAAACUUCACCUUAUUCACCCAGUUCAGAAUCUCUUGCAAUUCUAGAAUGAUUCUGGUGGAAAUGGCUGCAAAUGUCACUUCAUUUGUUGAAGCAUGGAAGAAUCUGCAGGGUUUUAUGAAUGUUCUAAACUAUGCAGCUUGUGAAUUGUUUCUGAAUUUUUUGCUGCUUGUUAAUGCUGUAUUCUCAUAUCUUCUGACGAAAUUUGCACAUCAUUGCAAGCUGCAAAUACCUUGCAUUUUGUGUUCCAGGCUUGAUCAUUUAUUGGGCAAUGAAAAGCCGGGAUUUUAUCGCAAUCUACUGUGCAGCAACCAUAGAUCAGAAGUAUCAUCCUUGUUUUCUUGUCACAUUCAUGGCAAGCUUGCAGAUGGCUGUGGUAUGUGCGAGGAAUGUCUGUUGUCAUUUACCAUGAAAAAUAAGUCAUACCCAGACAUGCAUAGGCUAUUGAUGGGUAAAUUUGGGUAUGAUCUUAAUGGUUAUCGUUGCCAAAGUUCAUUGCUGAACAGGGAAUUUGUUCCUGGUUCUGUGGGGGUGAUGUUGUGCGCAUGUUGCAAUAAGCCUUGGAGAUCAAGACCGAAUGCUGACAAACUAUUUCUGCUAAAAUCAACAAGCGGGAUGACUAUGCCUGGUAUUUCUAGACCACGUCUUUUGACUCGCCAUGAGGGCUUAACGAAAAUGAGGAAGAAAUUUUAUCAGUCAGCAGCAUCCUGCCAUCCUAGAAAAACUGUUUUUGAUCCGUUGUCUCAUGCAGGAUACAUGGAACUAAAAUUUGCUUCUGCUUCUGAUUCAGAAUCCCAAUUUUCUGAUGAUGAUGAGGGUUGUAAUAUUUUUCCUGAAAUAAAGGAGCCUAGGGAAGAAUCUCAGAUUCAACAUGCUUCAUGUAUUGUACCUAACAUACUGACGAAUUGUAUGGCCCCAAAUAAGCUGACUUACAAUUCCUAUAAACCACAGAUGCAGCUUGAUGUCAGAGAGUUCCAGGAUGUGAAAUGUUUUCAAUAUGAUUCUAACAUAGGUCGUGGUCUUGGUGAUCUUAACUGUCAACAAGCUGAUCAGAAAACCUAUCCUUCUGUACCUGAGCUUAUUUCAUUGGAUGAUUUUCCUCCUUUGUCCAAUGGGAUGGAAGCCUCUGUUGCAGUAUUAAAAGAGAAGUGUGAGCUCAAAUUUCCUCCUCCAGAAAAUUCCGAUCCUUCCGCACUAUCUGAGCUCAUGUCUCUGGUUGAUGCUCCUUCAUCAUUCAAUGCUGUUGAAGGUACUGUUGAAGCAUCACAAUGGAAGUGUGAGUCUCCUUCUCUUUCCCUAUGUGCUUAUGUGGACUUUUAUUUGAUAUUUAACUUAUAUCUUCAUGUGGAAUUGUUUCUAGCAGCAGUUGGCACUGGAAAAGACAACAUUAGAAAUAUUUCCAUAAACAAGCAUGGGGAAAUUUUGAAGUCAGUAGCUGCAACAGCAGGAAGAAAUGUUAAAAAUGAUCAGGUUGUUAAUGAAGUGCCUUACAUAAAUCCAACUUACAUGAAUCAGAGUGAUGUGUGGAAGUCUACAGUAAGUGAUAAGGAAAAUGAAUCAUCUGGUUUUGUGGCAGAGAAAUCCACUCUGAAAGAACCUGAAAGAGUUGAUGAAGACGUGAAGUUGUUGCCUAUAGAAAAUACAUCUGCUCAAGGGUUUGGUUUAUCUUCAGACAAGACAAUACCUGGCACUCAGGGUCACAAGGUUGAAUUGCAUAUAAAUGAUGCUUCCAGCUCUGAUGUAGUUUGGAUGCUUCAGGACAAUGUCCCAAUAGGGAGAACUGAAUCUUCUGGUCUUGAAUCUCUUGAUGGAAGCCUUGUCAGUGAGAUUGAAGGUGAAAAUAUUGUUGAGCGAUUAAACCGGCAAAUUGAGUAUGAUAGAAGAUGCAUAAAUGCUUUGUAUAAGGAAUUAGAUGAAGAAAGAAGUGCUGCUGCUAUUGCAGCAAAUCAGGCAAUGGCCAUGAUCACAAGGUUGCAGGAAGAAAAGGCAUCACUCCAUAUGGAGGCCUUGCAUUACUUGAGAAUGAUGGAAGAGCAAGCAGAGCAUGAUGUAGAGGCACUAGAAAAAGCUAAUGAUCUCUUGGCUGAAAAGGAGAAAGAUAUCCAAGACUUGGAAGCAGAUUUAGAGUUUUUCAGGUUAAAUUUCCCAGAUGACCCAGUGGAGACCAUACCUGCAGAAAGUUAUGGUUUGAAGGGGAAAAAUCUAAUUCUAGAUGAUACUAGCAUAUGCCAUGCAAAAGAUAUUGUCAAUGCUCCUCCGACCUCAAUAUUUAUGGAGGUCUCAAACGACCAGGAAAAUUCUAUUGAUGUCAGGUCUUCGUGGUCAGAAUUCGAAGAAGAGAAGUUAUUCAUUUCACAAUGUCUAAAGGAUUUGGAGAGGAAAAUUUGUCAAUUUGCUCAGCAAGAGGCUUCGACGGACAUGUCUGACAGUCAUUUUAACAAAACAGUAGAUAGAGGAGUUAACAAGGGAGAGUCUCUUGAAAUGGAGGAGACUCAAAUAAAUGGUGAGAUGAGAGAAAAGAGUUUAUCAGUGCAUAAGGAUGUACCUGUGUCUAAUGGAAGCCUUCCUGCUUAUGAAAAGUCCAAUGCUUCGAUUGAUGAAGAUCAAAUUACUGAGAAAGAAAAGAAUCAUCUUCAGUUUUCCAAUGGACAAAAAUUCUCCGAGCAGUAUAAAGAAAUUGAUUUGUUCGCUCUUGAAAUUGAAAUCUCAGACCUUAAUGAAAGGCUGGAAGCACUUGAGAGGGAUUGGAACUUCGUAGAGCAUACUUUUAAUUCUCUUCAAACUGGAAAAGAGGGGCUAAAGUAUGUCCAAGAAAUAGCUCAUCAGCUGCAAGAAUUGCGAAAAACUACUAGGAACAGACAACAAUCUGUUCCUUGAGAUUACUUCCAUUAUCAUGAGGUUAACGUAUUGACUAAGAAAAAUAGUUUUUCUGACAUUUGUACGUUUAGAAAUCAAACAUUUCCAUAUGUGUAUUAUGCAAUUGCAAUGUCCUGUAAUUUCCACUUGAAAAUAAUUCCACAGAACAGGUCUCAAAGUGAAAGCAAUUUCAAUUUGUGUGCAUGUGUGUGUGAAAAAGAGAGAGAGAGCUAGCUUUCUUAUGAUCUUACUCUCCUCAGUCUUCAAGCCAGCUCAAGACCUUUAGAAGAUCAAGUCAAGUGACAAGAAAAGCCGUCAAUAACAACACUAAAAUUCAAAGCUGUCAAGAAAAGUUGAGAUGCUUGAAAUGAUUUUGAACAGGCAGAGUGAGCCCAAGAUAAUCACAAUUUUCAGUAGUCAUGCCUAGUUUUUGCUUUUUGUUUUCUGGCAGAUUGCUUUUCUUUUAUAUUUCCAUUAAUUUCUCCUGUGCAACACUAUGCAGUUUUUAUGCAUUCAUUC